rnacentral:rRNA from 1 species
CGCAACGCGCAGAACCUUACCUGGUCUUGACAUCUCGGGAAUCAUUUGGAAACAUAUGAGUGCCUCGCAAGAGGAGCCCGAUGACAGGUGCUGCAUGGCUGUCGUCAGCUCGUGUCGUGAGAUGUUGGGUUAAGUCCCGCAACGAGCGCAACCCUUGUCUUUAGUUGCCAUCAUUAAGUUGGGCACUCUAAAGAGACUGCCGGUGUCAAACCGGAGGAAGGUGGGAUGACGUCAAGUCCUCAUGGCCUUUAUGACCAGGGCUACACACGUACUACAAUGGCAGGUACAAAGGGCAGCCACUUAGCGAUAAGGCGCGAAUCCCAUAAAACCUGUCUCAGUCCGGAUUGGAGUCUGCAACUCGACUCCAUGAAGUUGGAAUCGCUAGUAAUCGCAGAUCAGCACGCUGCGGUGAAUACGUUCCCGGGCCUU